rnacentral:rRNA from 1 species
UCGAACGGUCUUUUCUAUGGAAGCUUGCUUCCACUGAGAAGAUAGUGGCGAACGGGUGAGUAACACGUGGGUAACCUGCCCAUAAGAGGGGGGAUAACAUCCGGAAACGGGUGCUAAUACCGCAUAGUUUUCUUGAUUGCAUGAUCGGGAAAGGAAAGACGGCCUUUGUGCUGUCGCUUAUGGAUGGACCCGCGGCGUAUUAGUUAGUUGGUGAGGUAACGGCUCACCAAGACGAUGAUACGUAGCCGACCUGAGAGGGUGAUCGGCCACAUUGGGACUGAGACACGGCCCAAACUCCUACGGGAGGCAGCAGUAGGGAAUCUUCCGCAAUGGACGAAAGUCUGACGGAGCAACGCCGCGUGAGUGAAGAAGGUUUUUCCGGAUCGUAAAACUCUGUUGUCAGAGAAGAACAAGUUGGAGAGUAACUGCUCCAGCCUUGACGGUAUCUGACCAGAAAGCCACGGCUAACUACGUGCCAGCCGCUGC